GCAGCCGCGGGAGCGGGACCGGAGGCGGGGGGGUGCGGUACUCACUUUGCCCUUCAAAUUUGCGGAUGAUGGUGUCCAGUUUUGCUAAGCCUCCUAAUUUCAGCAGCAAGCAUGAUGCAGGAGCCAGAAGGCAGCAAAAUCUCUCCAGAUGUUAUCGCAGCGGGGAAGGGGAAAUCAUCCUCCGUUUAAAGCUCCUCAGUGGGACCCUGGACCUGUGCUGGAGGUGACCUGGUGUCUGUCCUCUCUGCUGCGUAGACCUUGGACCGCUGUUGAAGAAAGCAAUUUUAAUGAAACUUCUAGAAGUUGAUGAUCUUAGAGACCUCUGUUCCUUCAGCAAUGGGGCAGAAAGGAGCCGUGGGGCUCAAAACUUCCCGGUGAGGAGCUGAGCUGGAUGGAGCACACCUGCACCACUGCUUUCCCAGCCCAAAAAUACACUUGGCUCCA
rnacentral:lncRNA from 1 species